rnacentral:rRNA from 1 species
UGAGGAAUAUUGGUCAAUGGACGGAAGUCUGAACCAGCCAAGUAGCGUGCAGGAUGACGGCCCUAUGGGUUGUAAACUGCUUUUGUAUGGGGAUAAAGUCAAUCACGUGUGAUUGUUUGCAGGUACCAUACGAAUAAGGACCGGCUAAUUCCGUGCCAGCAGCCGCGGUAAUACGGAAGGUCCGGGCGUUAUCCGGAUUUAUUGGGUUUAAAGGGAGCGUAGGCCGGAGAUUAAGUGUGUUGUGAAAUGUAGACGCUCAACGUCUGACUUGCAGCGCAUACUGGUUUCCUUGAGUACGCACAACGUUGGCGGAAUUCGUCGUGUAGCGGUGAAAUGCUUAGAUAUGACGAAGAACUCCGAUUGCUAAGGCAGCUGACGGGAGCGCAACUGACGCUUAAGCUCGAAGGUGCGGGUAUCAAACAGGAUUAGAUACCCUGGUAGUCCGCACAGUAAACGAUGGAUGCCCGCUGUUGGUACCUGGUAUCAGCGGCUAAGCGAAAGCAUUAAGCAUCCCACCUGGGGAGUACGCCGGCAACGGUG